rnacentral:rRNA from 1 species
UACAGAGGUCUCGAGCGUUGUUCGGAUUCAUUGGGCGUAAAGGGUGCGUAGGUGGCGCUGUAAGUCGGGUGUGAAAUCCUGGGGCUUAACCCCGGAACUGCAUUCGAUACUGCAGUGCUUGAGGACUGGAGAGGAGACUGGAAUUCAUGGUGUAGCAGUGAAAUGCGUAGAGAUCAUGAGGAAGACCAGUGGCGAAGGCGGGUCUCUGGACAGUUCCUGACACUGAGGCGCGAAGGCCAGGGGAGCAAACGGG